rnacentral:rRNA from 1 species
UGUGAAACCAACUACGGGAUAUACUACAUCGAAAAAGUGCAACAACAAGGUACACUGAGUACACUAAAGUAGGGGUUUAAUACGGGGAAAUUACAUCAUAAACUAGGGGUUUAAUACACUCAAAAAACAGGAAAAAGCUACAUACAGACACUGAAACAAAUUACUCUGAAACUAUGGCAAAACCACUGAAUGCAUGAGGUUGCAGUGUAGCUCUACAGGACAAGGUACAGGGAAACUAUAUAGGGAAACUAUAUAGGGCAACUAACAGGGUCAAAAAUUGCAAAGCAGAACUGCAUGCUGAUACUCUGUAUAUCUCGGUGUAACAUACACUCCUAUUAUAGGGGAACACUGAAAAACAAGCAUGAAAAUUCAGGAAGAUGCAGAAAGGAAACAUUCGGAACAUAGAAAUUCAGUAACCAGCGGGAUGAACAAACAUCAGGGAACAAAUACAUUACAACAUGACGAAAUUCAGCGGCUAGAACAUCAAAACAAGAGCAGUCAUCUACAACUACAACUACAACCCCAAAGAAGACGCCAGAAGAUGAAAUCUCCCCAACAAACAACCAGAACCCGAUCUUCAGAGUCAAGCUAUGACAUCCACCGCUGAAAACUAACGCCUACUACGCCUACCUCCACAUCAACAACAGAGAAACUUACAUCAACAGCAGAACACUGCCCCAGGAUUUCGCCUACAGAAGCCAAACCAGGCGGGAUUUGGCCUACUUCCACAACAAAAAGAGAAGACCACGGCAUGGCGGACUACACAUGGCGCGCUGCAAGCUCUAACCAAAACUCAGGCGCACAACCAUGAUGGACUAGAACACCAUGGCGGCAACAAGAACAUCCCGCGAAUAAAAAAAAGACCUACCGGGGAUCCAUGAAACCCCAAAUCACCUGGAUCUGGAACUACAGAGCCACGAAAGCACGGGCAAAAACGGGAGAGACAAGGACAAGCAACCAGGGCAGCCGGGGGAUGAAGAGGAAAAGGAGAAGAGAUCAAAAUCCUGCGAUGGAAGAGCUCGGAAUCGCCAUGAAAGAAGGAAUCACCUCCCCCACCUCUGCCGCUCGAGCUCUCUACCUCUGCCUUAUCAAAAGGGGCAUUUGAUUUCUUGCCACGAUUUACUUUGGAGUUUGACGAUAAAUUGAGAAAG